rnacentral:snRNA from 1 species
GUGCUCACUUCAGCAGCACAUGUGCUAAAAUUGGAACGAUACAGAGAAGAUUAGCAUGGUCCCUGAGCAAGGAUGACACGCACAUUUGUGAACUGUUCCAUAAAAUA